GUGUCAGCAGCCGCGGUAAUACAGAGGGUGCAAGCGUUGUUCGGAAUUACUGGGCGUAAAGCGCGUGUAGGCGGCUUAUUAAGUCGGACGUGAAAUCCCUUGGCUUAACCAAGGAACUGCGUCCGAUACUGCUAAGCUUGAGUGUCGGAGGGGGUGGCGGAAUUCCCGGUGUAGAGGUGAAAUUCGUAGAUAUCGGGAGGAACACCUGUGGCGAAGGCGGCCACCUGGAAGACAACUGACGCUGAGACGCGAAAGCGUGGGGAGCAAACAGGAUUAGAAACCCCCGUAGUCC
rnacentral:rRNA from 1 species